rnacentral:lncRNA from 1 species
CCGGGGGCCGCUCUCCAGGCCCAGUCCAGUGCCCACUGUCCCCCGCCCCCGGUUCUAGAACAAAAGAGCCCGCGGCGUCCCGGUUCCUGGCCCGGAGGACGCCCGGGGGAGGCGCGCCUGCAGCGCGGCCGGUGUGGCCGCCGAGAGCAGCGCCAACCGCGACUGCCCCUCGGGAGCCGCCGCCGCUCCCACGUGAAGCCCAGGGCGCCGAGGGCACCGCGGCCGAACCCGCCCUGCGCGAGCCUCGCAGUCGCCAGUUCCGGAGUUCGCAGAUGCGCGGGGACCCGAGUGACGCGCGCCUCCCGGAAAGCCGUGGCCGGGCUGGCCUGGGCCUGGGUCCCGCUUCCCCUCGGCGCGGUCCCCGCCCCGCCGCCCCCGC